CCCCUAGUAACUGCGAGUGAAGCGGGAAAAGCUCAAAUUUGAAAUCUGACUGUCUUUGACUGUCCGAGUUGUAAUCUAGAGAAGUGUUACCUGUGCUGGACCGUGUAAAAGUCUUCUGGAAUGAAGCAUCAUAGAGGGUGAGAAUCCCGUCUUUGACAUGGACUGCCAGUGCGUGAUGGUGCGCUCUCGAAGAGUCGAGUUGUUUGGGAAUGCAGCUCAAAAUGGGUGGUAAAUGCCAUCUAAAGCUAAAUAUUGGCGAGAGACCGAUAGCGAACAAGUACCGUGAGGGAAAGAUGAAAAGAACUUUGGAAAGAGAGUUAAACAGUAUGUGAAAUUGCUGAAAGGGAAACGCUUGAAGUCAGUCGUGUUGGCUAGAAAUCAGCCUUGCUUUUGCGUGGUGUACUUUCUUGUCGACAGGUCAGCAUCAAUUUUGAUCGUUGGAAAAGGUCUCUGGGAAUGUGGCAUCUUUGGAUGUGUUAUAGCCCAUUGUCAUAUACAGUGAUUGAGAUUGAGGAACUCAGCACACCGCAAGGCCGGGUUUCGACCACGCUUGUGCUUAGGAUGCUGGCAUAAUGGCUUUAAUCGACCCGUCUUGAAACACGGACCAAGGAGUCUAACAUGCCUGCGAGUGUUUGGGUGGAAAACCC
rnacentral:rRNA from 1 species